rnacentral:tRNA from 1 species
GAGCUUAGGAUAAUUACUUAGACCAA